rnacentral:rRNA from 1 species
GAUCUGGCUCAGGACGAACGCUGGCGGCGUGCUUAACACAUGCAAGUCGAACGAGAAUCUACGGAUCGAGGAUUCGUCCAAGUGAAGUAGAGGACAGUGGCGGACGGGUGAGUAACGCGUGAGGAACCUGCCUUUCAGAGGGGGACAACAGUUGGAAACGACUGCUAAUACCGCAUGACACAUUGGGGUCGCAUGGCCCUGAUGUCAAAGAUUUAUCGCUGAAAGAUGG